AUGAUUUUCUCCAGUUGUGCUGGGGAACGGGUCAGCCGAGCUUCUCUGGGCUCCCAGGCGGGACACCAGCCACUACGGAGAUCUUUUUGCAGGGGGACUGGGCCCUGCAGCUGUGCGCCCUCCCGGUCGGGGUCGAGGAGGACCCCGGUGCAUGACCUCUCCUCCCACCACCUCAUCCCACCCUCUCCCCGCAGGGCGAGUGUUCCCCCAAGUGCCGCGGCCACUUCGUGGGGGAGACCGUGUGCGUGGCCUGGUUCUCCUUCGAGUUCCUGCUGUGCUCACUGCAGGCGGAGAGCAAGUGCACCUUCCUGCGGUCGCCGCUCGACAUCAUCUACAUCCUGGCCAUCCUGCCCGUCUACGCGUCGCGCUCGUGGGGUUGGUGGCCGGGGGCGCGGGCGCCGUCGCGGGGGGCGCGGCGCUGCUGGAGCUGGAGCGCGCGGGGCUGGGGCUGGGGCUGGCGCUGCGGCUGCUGCGGGCACUGCGCGCCCCUCGCUGGGGCUGCGCUCGCUCGGGUCACGGUGCGCCGCUGCGAGCUCGGCCUGCUGCUCCUCUUCCUGUGCGUGGCCAUGGCGCUGUUCGCGCCGCCCGUGCACCUGGGCACCUGGGCACCUGGCCGAGCGCGAGCUGGGCGGGCGCACGUCGCGACUUCUCCAGCGAGCCGGCCAGCUACUGGUGGGCCGUCAUCUCCAUGACCACCGUGGGCUACGGCGACACCGGGCAGGCGGUGGCGCUCAGCAGCAUCCUCAGCGGCAUCCUGCUCAUGGCCUUCCCGGUCACCUCCAUCUUCCACACCUUCUCGCGCUCCUACUGCGAGCUCAAGGAGCAGCAGCAGCGCGCUGCCAGCCCCGCGGCCCUGCGCGAGGACAGCACGCGCUCAGCCACCGCCACCGCCACCGCCACCGCCACCGCCACCGCCACGGAGGGCAGCUGGCCGGGGCCGGGCGGCGCGGGUCAAGGCGGGGUCCCCGUGCCUGGGGUGUACAGGACUGCGCCCCGCCAGUAGGAGCUCGGCCCUCCCUCGCCGCCCCGCCCCCUCUGGAACCCUUUGCUUCUGGCUCGGGCGGGGGUGAGAGGCGCCCCUGCACCGGCAGUCAGCCCGUGCCCUUCUCUCCUACUUCCCUUCGGAUCCGACUCCGCCCAGAAACUCCCAGCGAGUAG
rnacentral:lncRNA from 1 species